rnacentral:lncRNA from 10 species
AUUCAGAGCAGCCAAGUUUCACUUAACCCCGCUUAGCAAGAGAAACCGCUCCUCCUCCAAUGGCUAAUAAUUCUUCUGAGUGGCAAACGGUUAACACCCAAUUUUAAUGCCCUGGCUCACAACCCCCACACAGACAUCUGAGCCACAUGUGAGUAGCUACUGCUUUUCUGUAAAUGACAGAAAUACUAAGAGAACUUGACGGAAAUCGUCUCCAUUUCCUUUCGGGGGCGUACUAGGGACCAAUUAAACGGAGCACUUCCACCGGCCUAGUGGUUUUCUGCAGCCAGGGAAGACGGGGCGAUGCGCUGAGGCUCGACGCCCCCCGGGUGAGACUGGUCCCUCACUUGGCCGCCGGCCUCUGAGACAAUGGAGCUGACACUGCCCAGCUGGGGUCGCGCAGAGGGGUCAGCAGAAUCCGCGCAAGAGGCAACAGCUGGGGAGCCCUCCUUCACUCUACAUCUUUGUUCUGCUCUCUUUUCCAUCCCCAAAGAAACAGAGGAGGAGGAAGCAGAGCCCCCAUCGCGCCUGGGAGCGGUUGUGUAGGUGACCACGCCGCUUCCCCCAUCUCCCCUAGCAACGGGGCUUCCGCGUCCCUCGAAAUGGCCAGUUUCGCCCCCUCCUUCUGGGCAAGAUCCUGGGAGCAGGAGGAGAAGGGAGUGCCCAGAGCUGUGACCUGGAGCCGAGGUCCCCCUGGGGAGUCCUAACAGAACAAAGGCCAUCGCGGGGACUGUGGCAGUGGUUACCAGAUGAAAUGAGUGACCCCUUUUAAAGCUACAGAGGCCGUAACAGUCCUUCGCCCUCUCUGGUCAUUCAAGAGCCUUCUGAAUAGGGCUCCAAAAAUCAACUUCAGCCUUGGACCAGAGAACAUGUGCCAGAACAAGCCUGUCUCCAGGGGACUGCUCCGUCACAGCUGUCAGACGAUUCCAGUGCAUUCAGUGUGAUAAAAUGGAAGGCUUACCCCCGCCCCCAAUUUUGUCCUUGGGUGGCUGUGUAAACGCGUUCCCUGUCCACAUUUCGCCAGGAGGGCUAUUUGCUGUAUUAAUAAUGGGGUUAAUGAAGACACGCCGUCAUACGUUGCUUUACCAGAGGGGUGCGCUCUGAGAAAUGAGGGGUACUCUCUGAGAAAUGUGUCCUUAGGCGAUUGUGUGGCUGUGCGAGCAACAUAGGGUGCACGGACUUACACAGAGCUCAGUGGUGUAGCCUACUCCACACCUAGGACAUGUGCUACAGGCGGGGCGCGGUGGCUCACAUCUGUAAUCCCAGCACUUUGGGUGGCCAAAGCGGGGGGAUCUCCUGAGCUCAGGAGUUCGAGACCAGCCUGGGCAACGUGGCGAGACCCCGUCUCUACCAAAAAUACAAAAAAAUUAACUGGGUGUGGUGGCACGACCUGUGGUCCCAGCUACUCAGGAGGCUGAGGUGGGAGAAUCACUUGAACCCUGGAGGCGGAGGUUGCAGUGAAUCGAAAUCCGAGAUUGCGCCACCGCACUCCAGCCCCGGUGACAGGAGGCCCCUGCCACACACACACACACACACACACGACAUAUGGUACAUAACCUAUUGCUCUUAGGCUACAAACCUGUAAAGCAUGUUCGUGUGACAAAUGCCAUAGGCAAUUAUCACACAAUGGUUUCUUCUACAUUUUCAGGAAUCUUUACAGAAGUGCCCCACUGUACCGAUACCAAUUUACUGUAUUAGUUCCUUCUCACAGCUGCUAUGAAGAAAUACCCAAGACUGGAUAAGUUAUAAAGAAAAGAGACUUAAAAGAGGUUUAAUUGGCUCACAGUUCCACAUGGCUGGGGAGGCCUCAAGAAACUUAUAGUUACGGCAGAAGGCACCUCUUCAAAGGGCGGCAGGAGAGAGAAUGAGGGCGGAGGAAAUGAGGAGGCCCCUUGUAAAACUAUGAGAUUUUGUGUGAACUCACUAUCAUGAGAAAGCCAUGGCAGAAACCACCCCCAUGAUUCAAUUAUCUCCACCUUGUCCUUUGACACGCCGGGAUUAUUACAAUUCAAGGUGAGAUUUGGGUGGGGACACAAAGCCAAACCAUAUGACAAAUGCACUUGAAGAAAAUGCACAUUCUGCUGUUUAUAGCUGGAGUUACUAUAAGUGUUAAUUAUGUUGAUGGUUGAUAGAGUUAUUAAAGUCUUUUAUAUACCUAUUGUCGAUUUUAUCAAUUAGAAAUGAAAAUGGGGUGUUGAAAUCUCCAGCUGUAAUUGUGAAUUUUUAUAUUCUUCCUUGUAAUGCUAUCAGUUUUUACUUUUGUAUUGAAAAUUUCCCUUUUCAUUCCAUAAAUAUUUUAAAUUGUUACAUACUUCCUUUGUAAAUUUUAAAUUUAAUAUUUAAUUUUGUGGAUACAUAGGUGUAUAUAUUUAUGGGGUACAUGAGUUACUUUGAUACAGGCAUGCAAUGUGUAAUAAUCACAUCAUGAAAAUAGGGUAUUCAUCCCUUCAAGCAUUGAUCAUUUAUGUUACAAACAAUCCUAUUAUACUUUUUAAGUUAUUUUAAAAUGUACAAUUAAAUUAUUACUGACUUUAGUCACCUUAUUGUUCUAUCAAAUACUAGAUCUUAUUCAUUCUUUCUAAUUAUUGUUUUGUACACAUUAACCACCUCCUCACAACUUGCCUACUAUCUUUCCCAGCCUCUUGUAAUCACCCUUCUACUCUCUAUCUGCAUGAGUUCAGUUGUUUUGGUUUUUAG